GAGCCCAUCAUGGCAACGCCCCCUAAGUGGUGGGCAGUGGAGGCCACGAGGGAGAGAGUGCUGCGCCACAAGACUUUCAUCAGUGACAUGCUGCAGCGGGACUUGCGAGAGGUGCUGGACCAUCGAGACAAGAUACAUGAACAGCUGGCCAAAUACCUUCAACUGAGAAACGUCAUUGAGCGACUCCAGGAAGCUAAGCACUCAGAGUUAUAUAUGCAGGUAGAUUUGGCUGUAACUUCUUCACUGACACGGUGGUCCCAGAUACUUCAUGCAUCUAUGUGGCCCUGGGAUAUGGUUUUUUCCUGGAGUUGACACUGGCAGAAGCUCUCCAGUUCAUUGAUCGUAAGAGCUCUCUCCUCACAGAGCUCAGCAACAGCCUCACCAAGGACUCCAUGAAUAUGAAAGCCCAUAUCCACAUGUUGCUAGAGGGACUUAGAGAACUACAAGGCCUGCAGAAUUUCCCAGAGAAGCCUCACCAUUGACUUCUUCCCCCCAUCCUCAGACAUUAAAGAGCCUGAAUGCC